rnacentral:lncRNA from 1 species
CUGUGCUCUUUCUGUCAUCGUUUCGAGAAUGUUGGAUAAGUGGAAACAGAUCCGAAAGUCUGCAGGUUGUCUUUUCACCCUCUAAACAGAGUCUUUCACAGCAUGAAACAAAUGGAGGCUUUAAAUGGCCAUUUCAGAAAAGCCUGACCUAGCCUUGAGAGCGUCGGACACGGUCACUCCACCGGUUCCCACUCACGAGGGCAGAUCAUGGGUUUAAAUCCCAUUUGGGUGUGCUAAUUCAGCUUCACAAUAGCUCACCCACCAUGGGCUUAACGCUAUUCAGUGGCCACAGGUGAGUGUGUUUCAGGACAUCACAAAAAGAUAAGCUGAGAAAGAGUGGCCCACCGCUGCCAGAACAGCUUGAGGGCAAGUCCCCACUGACCCGGAAAGUGAGUCAGUUGCAUCACCCCCUUAGAAACCUGGAAAAUGCUUCAUCAUCGGUGUAGAGCGAGAGCCAGCAUUCAAAACGCCAGGGGGCUUAUCAGGCCAUUUCACCACAACAUAAAGUAACAGGCAGACUUGAAUUCAUCUGGCACUGUUGACCAACACAGAGAGCCAAAACACACACGGAAUUCAAAAUCAGAAAUAAUCCCAAGUUUGAGUCAUCCAAUGUGCUUGUCUACAUUGAUUGCACUCACCAGAUAAAAGUCCAAUGCACUCUGUGGGGUGAAACAGCCUCUGUCUCAGGUUGGGAGUUGCUGCCAUGGAGACCACAAGAGUGGAGAUUUUCUGACACACAGAAAGGAAUGGAUUACAGCUCCUUCUUAUGUAAAUUUCCAUGGAGGGGAAAAAAGAUUAAAAGGAAAAUAAUUCUGCUUUAGUCGUUUUCCUUUAAGGUGAUAAGAUCCUUUGAUUCCAUCGUGGAGAAGAAGGCAACAGCUGUUUGUCACAAAUGAUGGGAAAUGUGCCAACGUCACAACAAGGUUUGAGGGAGGCACAUCUCAUGCUCGGACAUGAACACCCGAUCAUCAUGCUUAUGAACUACAAAAGGAUCUCCAGUAUGGGCUCACGGCAGUUGGCCCUUGAAUAACAUGAAUUUGAACUGCCUGAGUCUGCUAAUAUGUGGAUUAUCUUCUGCUUCUGCACCCUGAGACAGCAAGACCAACCCUUCCUCUUGCUUCUUUUCCUUAGCCUAUUCAACGUGAAGAUGACUAAGGUUUCCCAGGAUGUACAGAGAAGUCCAGCCUCACCGUAGCACCUGAGCAGUGGGUGGGAAAUAGCUGAGGGACACAUCUCAAUCGAUGAACCAGCACUCCUGAUUCUCUGCAGCCUGCAAACUUCGGGUAAGAGGGGUAAUGGAAUUAGUAGUUCCCAGAUGGCCCUUGGAGGGUGUACUGGGUUGACUCGUGGCCCUCCACAAGAUAUGUCCAAGUCCUAAUCUUUUGUAACUGUGAAUGUGACCUUAUUUGGAAAUAAGUCUUUACAGAUGUAAUUAAGGAUCUUGAAAUAAAAUCAUUCUGAAUUUAGGGUGGGUCCUGUAUCAAAUGAGUAAUGUCUUUAUGAAAAAAAAAAAGAGGGGGAGAUUUGAGGCACAGAGACAAAUCAUUCUGAAUGUAGGGUGGUUCCUGUAUCCAAGCAGUAGUGUCUUUAUGAAAAAAAAAAAAAAAGAGAGAGAGACAGAGGGAGAUUUGAGGCACAGAGACACAGGGAAGAAGGCCAUGUGGAGAUGGAGGCAGACAUUGGAGUGGUGCUGCCACAGCCGGGGAAGGCCAGGAGCUAUCCAAAGAUGGAAGUGACCAGGAAGGAUUCUUCUCCAGGGCCUUUGGAGGAACAGUGGUACUAGCAACACCUUGAUUUUGGACUUCUAGCCUCCAGAACUGUGAAAGAAUACAUUUCUGCUGUUUUCAGCCAUGUAGUUUGUGGUAAUUUGUUAUGACAGCCGUGGGAAAAGAAUCCAGCAGAGAAGAUGUGGGGCCUGAAAUAACUGCUGGGUCAGCAGAGGCCUGGCUUAGUACUGAUUGUACAGAGACAUCUCAGCUGGAGGAAAGGGCAAGAACCACACUUUUCAGCAGCAGGUGCCAGCUUAUUGCCCCAAAGGGUGGGGAGGCACUCAUUGUGCCAGAGAAGAUACCUGUGCUGGGUCCCGGAGACCCGCCCAGCUCAGCUGCCUCCUAGGGAAGAUUUGCCUUCCAUGAAGGAGGUCUUACAUAUGAGGUCUCGUCUCUAGCUACUGCAAGAUAAAAGCUUUCUUUUGCACCCAGGCAUGAAAAAACCCUGAAAAACUGAGCGUUUGCUUCUCAGCGACUCAGCUUGAAAGAGGCUGUUUUAAACUGGAAGAGGUUGAGAGGCCUUCAGUUGGUGAGUUUAUUAUUUUCCCUUGCUCCUCUGUGAAAUGAAGCUCAUGAAGAAGCGUAGGUCAGGUACAGAAUAUAAAAGAAUGACCUUUUCUUUUUCCUGGACAAUUUAAGUGCACUGUCAUCUCACAACCUCAAACUCUUUAAUAUGGUAAUGAGAGGCAAAAGGCAUUUUAAUUUGGAGCUAUGUCGCAGUUUUCCAGCAUGUGAAGAAAGCAUCCUCAGUUGCCAAAAGGUCACGUGUGGGAUUAGUUGCUAGGCUGUGGGAUUAUUUUUCUAGGCUUGCUGGGGAAAAGGGCAAAAGAGAAGAAGCAAACUAGCAGAGUCAUGUGGCGUUUCUGUCCUGGGACUUACGCAAAUUAUGCAAUUGUCCUUUGCAUUCAAAUCUGUUCCUCUUCCACCUGAUAUUUUGCUGAGGGGACAAGUGAAAUUCCAAAGCUCAGUUUGCUGAAGUGUGCAAAAUGCUAAUCAGCUUCCACAGCCCACAAAGUGGCAGAGAGGGCGUGCCUCUCUGGAGAAGAGAGGAGAGACUGGACUAGGAGCUGGGAGGAGUCUGGCUGACUCAGCGGCCCCAGACAAACGCACUUCCAUCCUUUCCCAUUUCCGUUGUGAACUCUUCUCCGUGGGCAAGAAGAGGACUCAGAACAACUGCUAUCUUUUUACAAAGAAGGAUGAUGUGCAAGGGGGUCAUUUACAAGAGGAUCAAGGGUUUGGCUAUGUUGGGAGAUGCUGAUUUUGAUAAAUGUUUCCAUAUCUCUACAAAUGUGCCUUUCUGAGUCUCCAGUUAGACUUGAAAAAGACUUUGGAGAUUGUCCCCUGCACAGUGGCUCUGAGCCUGGACACCUAGGAGAUGCUCAGUAAAUAUCUGUUAAAUAAAUGAAGGAAUGGAUAUAGUCCAAACUACUUGGUCAUGCAUCCAGUUUGUGGCAGAUUUGGGUCUCUAAGGCCCAGUACACUAAUCACUCAGCUGGGAGUUUUUAUUCUGUUCCAUCUUGCUGCUAGGACAACUGUAGCCACCCAGAAGGAUGUCUCAACGCUCUGGAAAGUUCUCUGGCUGAAUGUUGCUAUGAUACAAUCUUUUAACAAGCUGAUUGCUCAGUAGCAAGAGCAAGUGCUAUUUAUGUUGGGUAAAUAAGAAGAAAUGCUGCCCUACUGAUAUUUGUUAAGUGCCCCUUUAAUAUUUGUGAGGAGGCGAUCUUGACAAAAUUUUGAGAGUGUAUACACUGGCAAAUUUUACCUUUUAUGGACUGUAAUAUCCUAUUGCUACUUGAUUUAAAAAUCUUUCCCUCUCUUCACAUAUAUCCAUAUGAAAAAAAACAGCAGAGAGAGAUAUAUGUAUAUUAUAUGGGAGAUAUCUAUCUAUCAUCUAUCUAUCUCCCACUUAUGACCUGAAAGCCCCGUCUUUGAGAUGUUCUGCCUUUCCAGCCUAAAUCAAUGUAUACCUUACAUGUAUUGAUUUAUGUCUUUGCCUGUAACUUCUGUUUUCCUAAAAUGUAUAAAACUAAACUGUAAUUCAGUCACCUUGGGUACACUUUCUCAAGCUUUCUUGAGACUGUUUCCCAGGCCAUGGUCAGAAUAAAC